rnacentral:rRNA from 1 species
GUCCACGCCGUAAACGAUGGAUACUAGCUGUUCGGAGCAAUCUGAGUGGCUAAGCGAAAGUGAUAAGUAUCCCACCUGGGGAGUACGUUCGCAAUAAUGAAACUCAAAGGAAUUGACGGGGGCCGCACAAGCGGUGGAGCAUGUGGUUUAAUUCGAUUAUACGCGAGGAACCUUACCAAGGCUUAAAUGUAGAUUGACCGGUUUGGAAACAGACUUUUCGCAAGACAAUUUACAAGGUGCUGCAUGGUUGUCGU